CCUACGGGAGGCAGCAGUGAGGAAUAUUGGUCAAUGGGCGGAAGCCUGAACCAGCCAAGUCGCGUGAGGGAUUAAGGCCCUGCGGGUUGUAAACCUCUUUUGUCGGGGAGCAAAGAGAGUCACGUGUGGCUCAUUGAGAGUACCCGAAGAAAAAGCAUCGGCUAACUCCGUGCCAGCAGCCGCGUUAAUACGGAGGAUGCGACCGUUAUCCGGAUUUAUUGGGUUUAAAGGGGGCGCAGGCGGAGGUGCAAGUCAGUGGUCAAAUUGCGGGGCUCAACCCCGUACUGCCGUUGAAACUGCAUCCCUUGAGUGCGCGAGAAGUAUGCGGAAUGCGUGGUGUAGCGGUGAAAUGCAUAGAUAUCACGCAGAACUCCGAUAGCGAAGGCAGCAUACCGGCGCGCAACUGACGCUCAUGCACGAAAGCGUGGGUAUCGAACAGGAUUAGAUACCCUGGUAGUC
rnacentral:rRNA from 1 species